rnacentral:sRNA from 1 species
CUGCUCGACUUGCUGGGGACAAAUGAAGUGGACAUGGGCAUCUAUGGCCCCUGGCGUCGCAAUCAGGCCCUCCCCGGCGAUGAUCUCCGUGCCCGGACCGAUCGGGACUGUGACUCCCGGCUGAACAUCACCAUUCCCGGCCUUGCCGAUGACCGCGAUUCGCCCCCCCUUCAGGCCGAUAUCGCCCUUGACGAUGCCGCGAUGGUCGAUAAUCAAGGCGUUGGUGAUCACUGUGUCCAUGGCAUGCGCGCUGUCAUACUGGCCCUGGCCUUGCCCAUCGCGG